rnacentral:rRNA from 1 species
AUUGAACGCUGGCGGCAUGCCUUACACAUGCAAGUCGAACGGCAGCACGGGUGCUUGCACCUGGUGGCGAGUGGCGAACGGGUGAGUAAUACAUCGGAACAUGUCCUGUAGUGGGGGAUAGCCCGGCGAAAGCCGGAUUAAUACCGCAUACGAUCCACGGAUGAAAGCGGGGGACCUUCGGGCCUCGCGCUAUAGGGUUGGCCGAUGGCUGAUUAGCUAGUUGGUGGGGUAAAGGCCUACCAAGGCGACGAUCAGUAGCUGGUCUGAGAGGACGACCAGCCACACUGGGACUGAGACACGGCCCAGACUCCAACGGGAGGCAGCAGUGGGGAAUUUUGGACAAUGGGCGAAAGCCUGAUCCAGCAAUGCCGCGUGUGUGAAGAAGGACUUCGGGUUGUAAAGCACUUUUGUCCGGAAAGAAAUCCUUGACUCUAAUACAGUCGGGGGAUGACGGUACCGGAAGAAUAAGCACCGGCUAACUACGUG